GGGGUAAGGAGACCAGCAAGGGAUAUUGAGGCACCCAGGGCUAAACUUAGAGGGAAGCUGUCAUCACCCUAGGGCCUGAGGAGGAAGGGGAGAAAAUACUGUUUGGGGGGCCUGGUGGGAGCUGUAGCUGGGAGGAGGACCAUGAGGGAGAAACCAUAGUCAUGGAAGGAUGUUGUCACUGCCAGGACCAAGGCACCAAGCUCCAGUUAUGCCCUGAAGGCUUGUCCAUGCCUGUGGAUCACCAUCCUCUGCCUCCUGCCUCCUCCUGCUUCCCCGGCUGGUGUCUGCCUGGUAUCAUCAGUCACCUCCUCCCAAGCAGCCUAUUGCUUUCUCUACUGAUGCCUUGAGCCGGA
rnacentral:lncRNA from 1 species